rnacentral:tRNA from 1 species
GGAUGUGGCUCAGUGGUAGAGCACCUGCCUGGCAUUGCAUGCGGUUCUGGGCUCAACCCCCAGCACCA